rnacentral:lncRNA from 1 species
AGCUUUACAUAAACUGUUUCAUUACAAAAACAGCAGAACCAUUUACACAAACUGUUGCUUCAUAGCAGCAUUACAUAAACUGUUGCUUCACAGCAGCAUUACAAAAACAGCAGCUUCACAGCAGCAUUACAUAAACUGUUGCUUCUUUACAAAAUUAUGACCCCCAAAAAUUUACAGACAGCACAGCAGCAUUACAUAAAUAGUAUGCUUCUUUACAAAAUUAUGACCCCCAAAAAUAAACAGUAUGCUUCUUUACAAACAGUAUGCACAGCAGCAUUACCACACAUCAUU